GAGCCCGUAGCUCAGCCGGUAGAGCACGAGACUUUUAAUCUUGGGGUCGUGGGUUCGAGUCCCACCGGGCUCACCA
rnacentral:tRNA from 1 species